rnacentral:rRNA from 1 species
CCUACGGGAGGCUGCAGUGGGGAAUAUUGGACAAUGGGGGCAACCCUGAUCCAGCCAUGCCGCGUGUGUGAAGAAGGCCCUCGGGUUGUAAAGCACUUUCAGUGAGGAAGAACGCCUGGUGGUUAAUACCCAUCAGGAAAGACAUCACUCACAGAAGAAGCACCGGCUAACUCCGUGCCAGCAGCCGCGGUAAUACGGAGGGUGCGAGCGUUAAUCGGAAUUACUGGGCGUAAAGCGCGCGUAGGUGGCUUGAUAAGCCGGUUGUGAAAGCCCCGGGCUCAACCUGGGAACGGCAUCCGGAACUGUCAAGCUAGAGUGCAGGAGAGGAAGGUAGAAUUCCCGGUGUAGCGGUGAAAUGCGUAGAGAUCGGGAGGAAUACCAGUGGCGAAGGCGGCCUUAUGGACUGACACUGACACUGGGGUGCGAAAGCGUGGGUAGCAAACAGGAUUAGAUACCCUGGUAGUC